AUUGAACGCUGGCGGCAAGCCUUACACAUGCAAGUCGAACGGUAACAGGUUAAGCUGACGAGUGGCGAACGGGUGAGUAAUGUAUCGGAACGUGCCCAGUCGUGGGGGAUAACUACUCGAAAGAGUGGCUAAUACCGCAUACGACCUGAGGGUGAAAGCGGGGGCCCGUAAGGCCUCGCGGGAUUGGAGCGGCUGAUAUCGGAUUAGCUAGUUGGUGGGGUAAAAGCCCACCAAGGCGACGAUCUGUAGCUGGUCUGAGAGGACGACCAGCCACACUGGGACUGAGACACGGCCCAGACUCCUACGGGAGGCAGCAGUGGGGAAUUUUGGACAAUGGACGCAAGUCUGAUCCAGCCAUGCCGCGUGCGGGAAGAAGGCCUUCGGGUUGUAAACCGCUUUUGUCAGGGAAGAAACGAGUCUCUCUAAUACAGAGACUUAAUGACGGUACCUGAAGAAUAAGCACCGGCUAACUACGUGCCAGCCGCCGCAGUAACAC
rnacentral:rRNA from 1 species